UUAAUUGAAACCAAAACAAGAGGUACACCAUUGUUAAUGAUGUCACUGGCCACUAGCCCAAUUAAA
rnacentral:tRNA from 1 species